CAAUCUAUGGUUGGUCGAAAGAGAACCUAUGGUCGACCUUCUUGAUUUGCUCCGCUCUGCAAUUCAUAGGAAAUUUUGACGCCAAAAAAUGGUAACCAAUCAUUUGAAUGGCCAAGGUUUAACGGACCCAUAAAACUACAAAAGCUACGACCUACGAGCCGAGGAAUAAGGAGUGUAGGACAAAUGGCCACCUCACAUCUUCCCGCCCUCAUUUUCCGGCCAACCCUCCACCGGAAAUUCCACCCCCAACUACCCACCACCAUCUCCCUCACCCAUCCCCAACCCCAACCCCAACCCAGAAAAGGCCUCAGAUCACAUGAGAAGCUGAAGGGGGGUGUUCGGGUAAGCAUGGCGGAUCAAGAAACUAGUCCGCCGCCAAGCCCAAAACAAGAAACUAGUCCGCCGCCAAGCCCAAAACAAGAAACAGACCCCAAUUUGGAGGAGCUGGUGGAUUUCUUGUACAAAGAUCUUCCCCACCUCUUCGAUGACAAAGGAAUUGAUCCCACGGCCUACGAUGCUGCUGUGAAGUUCAGAGACCCCAUCACCCGCCACGACAACCUUAGAAGCUACCUCCUUAAUAUUGCCACUUUGAAAUACUUGUUUAGGCCUAAGUUCACCUUGCAUUGGGUCAAACAGACAGGGCCCUAUAAAAUAACCACACGCUGGACUAUGGUCAUGAGGUUCCUUCUUCUGCCAUGGCAACCUGAGUUAGUCUUCACCGGAACUUCUGUCAUGAAAGUCAACCCAGAAACAAACAAAUUUAUCAAACAUGUUGAUUACUGGGAUUCAAUUGUGAGCAGUGAAUUUUUUUCUAUAGAAGGUUUAUUCGAUGUAAUACAGCAGUUGUGGUUUUACAAGACCCCAGACUUGGAAACACCUUCUUAUCAAAUCCUAAAAAGAACUGCUAGUUAUGAGGUAAGAAAGUAUGAUCCAUUUCUAGUUGUAGAAGCGGAUGGCAAUACCUUAUCAGGAUCAAAAGGUUUCAAGGAUGUGGCUGGGUAUAUCUUUGGGAAGAACUCUGAAUCGGAGAAGAUACCUAUGACUACUCCCGUGUUCACUCAGGCAUCAGAUGAUCAAAAAUCCAAAGUCUCGAUCCAGAUUGUUCUUCCAUCAACUAAAUCUUUGGACAGUUUACCAACCCCGAAUGAAGAAGGAUUAAAAUUGAGGAAAGUUGAAGGAGGCAUUGCUGCAGUGACCAAAUUCAGCGGGAAACCAACAGAGAACAUUGUUCUUGAGAAGGAGAAAGAGCUGAGGUCUAGUCUUAUUAGAAAUGGCCUCGAACCUAAACCGGGGUGCCUGCUUGCUCGCUACAAUGAUCCUGAUAAAACUUGGGAACACAUAAUGAGAAAUGAAGUGCUUAUAUGGCUGGAGGAAUUCUCACUGGAUUGAUGCUUUGGCAAUUUUGGUACCUGGAGUAGAGGAGCAGUAGCACAUAUUUUUCAUAUGUACUAUUCAAGCUGUAUAUGUGUUUUUGUUGUUUUGUACUGAAUAGUUGUAAUUUGUAAAGAUGCACUUGAUUUUGAGAUAUGGAUCAGGGAGGAAUGUUGAUUGAUAACAAACAAUCCUAGUCUACUAGGUUAGUGUAGUAUUUGUUCUAAGGUUUCUUUAGAUAGUUUAAUGUAAAAGGAAAAAAAAAAUCAUUUUUUU